rnacentral:tRNA from 1 species
GCCUGGGUGGUUCAGUCGGUUAAGCAUCUGACUUCGGCUCAGGUCACGAUCUCACAGUUUGUGGGUUCAAGCCCUGCAUCAGGCU